rnacentral:lncRNA from 1 species
UUAUCAUAUAUAUAAUAUAUAUUAUAAUAUAAUAUAGUAUAGUAUAUUUUAUAUAUUAUACUGGAACAGCUCGUGCCCUUGGUCUCUUGCCUCAGCACCUGGGUGGCUUGCCGCCCACAAACUGCUCACUGUUCAAUUACCAUUUUCAGAAUGCUUUUUAUGUUUGUUUGAUGAAUUCAUAAAAGUCUCUAAUGUGAAAUAAGCCAAGCACAGAAAGACAAAUAAUGCAUGUUUGGCCGGGUGUGGUGGCUCACGCCUGUAAUCCUGACACUUUGGGAGGCCGAGGCGGGCAGAUCCCCUGAGGUCAGGAGUUUGAGACCACCCUGGCCAACAUGGUGAAACCUCGUCUCUACUAAAAAUACAAAAACAAUUAGACAGGCGUGGUGGCAGGCGCCUGUAAUUCUAGCCACUUGGGAGGCUGAGGCAAGAGAAUUGUUUGAACCAGGGAGGCAGAGGUUGCAGUGAACCGAGAUCGUGCCAUUGUAAUCCAGCCUGAGCAAGAGAGCAAGACUUGGUCUCAAAAGAAAAAAAAAAAGAUAAAUAACACAUGUUCUCUCAUAGGUCAGUACUAAAAGAGUUGCUCUCAUAGAAGUAAACAGAACAGUGGUUACUAGAGGCUGGGAAGGGAAAGGCUGUAAAAGGGAUAGGGAGAGGUUGGUUAAAGAAUACAAAAUUACAGCUAGAUAGGAGGAAUAAGUUCUAGGGUUCUAUAGUUCUGGAGGGUGACUAUAGUUAGCAAUAAUUCAUUGUAUAUUUUCAAAAAGUGAGAAGAAAAGAUUUUAAUGAUCUUAACAUAAAGAAAUGAUCAAUGUUUAAGGUGAUAGAUAUGCUAAUUACCCUGAUCUAAUCAUUACACAUUAUAUACAUGUAUCAAAAUCUCACCCUGCACAUACACCAUGGAAUACCAUGCAGCCAUAAAAUGAACAAGAUUAUGCCUUUUGCAGGAACAUAGAUGGAGCUGGAGACCAUUGUCCUUAGCAAACUAAUGCAGGAACAGAAAAAUAAAUACUGCACGUUCUCACUUAUAAGUGGGAGCUAAAUGAUGAGAACUCAUGGACUCAAAGAGAGGAACAACAGACACUGGGACCUACCUGAGAGUGGAGGGUGGGAGGAGAGAGAGGACCAGAAAGAUGAAGAAGCAGGUAUAAGCCAAAUGUUGAGAGUUAGAGAAUGCCAGCCUGCAGUUGUCAUCACCCAGGCUUAGUACCUGGGUGAUGAAAUAAUCUGUACAACAAACCCUCAUGACACGAGUUUACCUAUAUAACAAAUCUGCACAUGUAACCCUGAGGCUAAAUAAAAGUUUUUUAAAAUCUCACUCUGUACUGCAUAAACAUGUAUGAAUAUUAUGUGUGAAUUAAACGUUUUUAAC